AGUGGUGCAGUGGUCAAUGCGCCCCGCUUGGUAUCCCCAAGGUCCUGGGUUCGAACCCGGUCUUUUCC
rnacentral:tRNA from 1 species